AAAAAAAAAAAAAAAACUUAUUAAGAGUCGCAUUUUUUGCCUAUUCACACACUAUUACAGCAUCUAAGCCAAUCUCCAUUUCCACUUUGGCAUAUGGUCCACUAAAUACUACUCCCUCCGUCCACCUUUUACAAAAUUUACAAAUAUAAUUGUUGGAGUAAUAAAUUUGUUUAAAAUAUGUGUGACUAUUACUAGAAUAACUUUUGUCUUAUAUGGAUUCAUUAUUGACUUUUCAUUUUUCAAGACAAAAUUGAUGGUAUGAUAAGGAGUACUAUAUUUGGAAAAUGCAUAAUAAAUGUACUUAGAAAUAUGUUGAGGGUCUUAGGACAAAUUUCAUUUGUAAAAGAGUGAGGGAGCAAUAUUAUAUGGUGACAUGAUAGUAAUCAUGACAGUUAUUAUUAUCGGAACUGAAUUCAUAUUAGAUUACAAGCACAAUCAUUUGACAGACAAGACAACAAAAUAAAUACUCUUAGUUCAUUUGCACCAACAAAGCACUUGCCAACCUAUAAUAAUCUCUCCAACAUGGUGUUUUCCAAAUAAUGUGUUGGAAUUCAGAUUUUUUUCACCUCUGCUUCAAACACCCUAGUUGGAAGAGAAUCAUGGCAUGUCUGUAUCGAUCAAUUUAUCAACCUUCAUUUGUUGAGAGAAAACCUCUACACUUGUUGAUGUCAUCAAUAUCUUACAACCAUUGUGAUCAUCACCAAAAGGGAUACCAAUCUCACCUAAAUCAAGUCUACCAUGAACAUCAUUCAGUACAACUAGUACUGUUUGCAGCUUUUUCAUCUUAGCACGCAGAAGAACAGCUCUUGCUGCAAUUGUCAUUCUCUUGUUAUUACCAAAACGCAUCCAAGAAGUUGACUCAGGUAGAUUUGUCUCAAUCACAAAAGUCAGACCAAUUGCAUCACCAAUUUGUGUUUGAAGAUGAAUAAUGUCUGGCUUCUUUGUCACAGUUGCUGUGAUAAUCUUUUGGAACAAUUGAUCUCUCUCAGCUCUUCUUGUAGCGGUGUUUGCAAAAUGCUGGACUCUGUUAUCCGGCCCACAUAAUCCAAUUACAUUUUCUCCUUGGUUUGUCUCUCUUAGUGCAUCCAUAAUCUGUUGCAUAACCAUAUAAUCGACUUCGGGAAUAUACAUGCCCCUCGAAUUAGUCGAAUAACCUGCCCUCUUGUGAAGUCUACGUUCCAUGCUUCUACCUGAAAUAGAAAAUUGACAUGAACCAAACACAUACUACAAAGUUACAAAACCUACCUUAAAUUAUUGACAUCCCAACCAAACAUAGAGCAAAAGCCUAUACAGCUGCAUAAUUAUAUAUCUGGUCAAAAAUCAAAAAUAGCCUUAUUUGUGUGAAGGGGAUAGGGGUAGAGUAAUUAAACAUCGACUUAUUAACAGAAGCAAAGCAACCAAAUUAACCUUAGUUCAAACUAAUUCAUCGAGAAGGAAAUUAAUGCAAAAGAAUAGAAAUCUUAAUUACCACAACGCAAGGUGUAUGAUGACUGUGCAGUCUGUCUAGCUAACAGAUUAUAGGUGCUGAGACCAAAGCUUCAUUUCACCAAAACUUCAACUUACACAUAUAUAAAUGUGUGUGGGGUGGUGGUGGGUGGGGCCAUUGCAGCAGUUCAUUGUUCAAGUUGCCGUUAAGUGACGAAAACAAUUAAUUGUUCCAAGUUGCCAUUUGACUAUAUGCAGGUCUAGAAACUUUUAAAUUAAUAAUGUCAGGAUCGGAGAAAUUUAUUAAUUUAGAGAGUUAUUAAUUUAUCGAUAAAUUAAUAAUUAUUAAUUGGGUCUUGGGCACAUGUUAAGAUACUAAAAUAGAAAUUUAACAUUUAAUGAUAUAAAAAAUUUAAUGCUUUAAAAGUCAAAAUGUACAAAUUAGCAUUUAAUAAUUUCUAUUUUUACUUCCUUAACAUGUGCCUUAAGGGCACAAGUUAACAUUCUUCUUAUUAAUUUAAAGAUAGUGUAGAUACUAAACAAAAAGACAAAUUAGUCUAUGCCUCUUAGAAUUACAUUGCAGCGAACCUUGAGACUCAACAUAAAUUAGUAGCUAUUGUGUUCAUAUGCAUUGGAAAUCAAUAAUGACUUUUGAAGUACGGUAAAUGUAAACAAGAGGAACAAAUGUGUUCAAUAUUUUUUUUCUUCGGUUUCUAUGAAUUAUUAAUUUAUGAUUUUCUUGGGACCGAAAAUUAUAAAGGGAUCUCCCGAAAAUUUAUUAUCUUAUUAUUUUAUCGAGUUUUCCAAUUUUUUACAUUGGCCCAAGUCGGGACCGGACAAAUUUAUUAUUUUAGAGAGUUUAUUAAUUUACCGAUUAUAGGCUGAGUGAGCAUAUUGACAGUUUGACGCAUGCUAAUGCAUAACUUUGACGAUUAAUAUUUUUUAAGGCUAAAUUGCACUUUUGGUCCCCUAAGUUUCAUAAACUUACGAUUUUGGCCCCCUAAUUUUUAAAAUAGCAAUUUUGGCCCACUAUGUUUACCCAUUUUGCGAAAGGUCAAUUUUGACUAAGUCAACGCUGAUGUGUCAAGUCACUUAAGUGACUCAGCUGCCACAUGAACUUCUUUUGCCACCUAAUAAUUGAACAUAUUAAUUUGGUCUCCCUUAACGAAGAAACUUGGACGUAAAGCAACAAUAAUUGAAAAAUAAGAAGAUUCAACAGAAGAAGAAGAAGAAGAAUAAAAAUGAACGGCGUUGGAUGUUUAGAGGUGAAAGAGAGAUUGAAAUUUGAGAUGAAGAGAGGAAGAAAAAUGAAUGAAUGAUUGGGUUCGUCGUUGAAACGCGUAGAUAAUGUUUGUAAAUUCUUCUACACAGACUUUUCUCUUUUGCGUAACAUUCUUCGUGAGGGAAGGUCAUCGUAUUGUUGAUUUUUGCCAAAAAUACUUUCUUUUUUUUUAUGUUAAUUUUUACCAAAAACAAUACUACUAUAACAUAAAAUAUCAAAAUAAAAAUUUAUGGUAAGAGGACGGUGUUCAUUAUAAAACAAGGAAGACUUUAGAUUUAUUAAAUAGUACUAGCGGAGCUCCAACCCGACCUCCUAAAUUCAAGACAUGUAUUAACUAAUAUUUACAAUUAGUUGGAUUUUUUUAUAUGAAAUUACUAAUUAAAACAAGUCAAUAAAUACCUAAAAUAUAUAUGUAAAAUUACCACUCUUUGGCACUUAUUAUAUACCCGGCCUUAUUACAUAAUACACUACAGCCAUGUUUCAAGAAGCAAAACUAGACCAAAGGGAGGAAAAUGGAACUGAGCCCUUGAACUCAUAACAUAAUCCACUACUCCAGGAAUAAUAUUAAGCCUGGGCACAAUUUUAACCGCAAAUGCACGAAUGAAUGUUUAUUGGUUUAAAGUUUUCCGAUCGGGAUUCAACCGGAUCGGACCGUUUUUAACUAAUAAAAUAUAUAUUAUUUAUAUACUGAAAUUAUAAUAAAAAUAAUUAAUUUUAAGGAAUUAAUCUAAAUAUAUUUUUUUUUGGUGUACAAAGGGGCCUAAGCCCAAAGAAAAAAGCAACUNNNNNNNNNNNNNNNNNNNNNNNNNNNNNNNNNNNNNNNNNNNNNNNNNNNNNNNNNNNNNNNNNNNNNNNNNNNNNNNNNNNNNNNNNNNNNNNNNNNNNNNNNNNNNNNNNNNNNNNNNNNNNNNNNNNNNNNNNNNNNNNNNNNNNNNNNNNNNNNNNNNNNNNNNNNNNNNNNNNNNNNNNNNNNNNNNNNNNNNNNNNNNNNNNNNNNNNNNNNNNNNNNNNNNNNNNNNNNNNNNNNNNNNNNNNNNGAUUUGCUAUCACAAUACCACUAACAUCUACUUCAAAGUAUUGCAUAACCCAUUUCAAUAUGAGUUUCCAAGGCUGUAAAGGUCUCAAUCUACUAUCUCCAUGAGUCUCUCUGUUACACCAUAGCCAAAGGAAGUGACAACUAGUUGCCCAAACACUUGCCCAACUCAAGUUGUUAUCUCGGCCAUGUUGUUUCUUCAUGUUCAGAAUAAUCCACUCAUCAAGAGCAGCUGUAAAAAACCAAUCUCUAUCCUUUCCAUGUAAUAAAUUGCACCAAACACUUUUUGCUAAGGGACAAUCCCUCAACACAUGCAGAGUAUCUUCAACCACGUCCACACAAUGAUUACACCACGGCUCAUUGAUGUGCAUUUUGCUCUUUCGGUAAUUUGUUAAAAGCCGGUCAUGUCGAAUUAUCCAAAUAAAUGUUCUGAUACGCUCUGGAACUCGCAAACGCCAUAUCUGAAGCCAAUCCGCCUCCCACGCAUCGUCGUUAAAUCGGCAUAACAAUGUGUAAGCUGCGAGGCCUAUACUCACAUAUGNNNNNNNNNNNNNNNNNNNNNNNNNNNNNNNNNAACAAACAACAAAUGGAUCUAAGAUAGACUCUGAUACCAUAUUAGAAUUUGAGAGGCCUAUACUCAACCACAAAAGCUAGCUUGAGAGUUGAGGUUUGCACUACACUUAUAAAGGCUAUCUUUGUCAUAUCUCUAGCCAAUGUGGGACUUCUAACACUUACCUAGUCAAAUAGAGAAACCAACACUUUUGUAUAAUAAUGAAAUGCAAAGCUCACUCAUAUGGUCAAAACAAGUCAAAAGUAAACACAAGAAACAUGCAUCAUGAACGUCGGAAUUGUCUUUGUAUUGUAUCUACUUCAACUGUAAAUACUAUCCAGACCUUUAACUAGAAGAGUAAAAAGCAGAUUAUAAACAAAAUGAAUUUCAGCAACUGAGCAAAAACAGACUAAAUACUGAGGAAAAAAAAUAGACUAAAAGUUAAAUUAGCUGAAAGAAAAAAGGAAAUGAUCUUUCUGCCUUAACACUAAAAAGCUUAUAGUUAAUAUGAUGAAAGUAAUAUCAUGACAGUUAUUAUUAUCUGAACUGGUUCCAUAUCUUUGAUUAUUGAUUACACACAAACAUUUGACAUGAAAAAACUAAGUCUUAGUUCAUCUAUACCUACUACAAAGCGUGAUUGGAUUUCAAAUUAUGUGCAUGAUUGGAAUUCAAAUUUUCAUCAUCUUUGCUUCAAACACUCUAGUUGGAAGAGAAUUGUGUCAUAUCUCUGAUAAUUGUAUCAAUUUAUGAACCUUCAUUUCUUCGGCUAGAACCUUGAGACUUGUGGAUGUCAGCAAUAUCUUGCAACCUUUAUGAUCUUCGCCAAAAGGAAUACCAAUCUCACCUAAAUCAAUUCUACCAUGAACAUCAUAUAGUACAACUAGGACUGUCUGCAGCUCUUUCAUCUUAGCAAACAAAAGAAGUGCUUUUUCUGCAGUUGUCGUUCCUUUGUUAUUAGCAAAACACAUGCAAAAAGUCGAUUCAGCUAGAUUCGUCUUAUCAUCAAAAUUCAGACCUAUUGCAUCACCAAUUUGUGUUUGAAUCUUAGUAUUGUCUGGCUUCUUUGUCACAGUUGCUGUGACAAUAUUUUGGAACAAUUGAUCUCUCUCAGCUCUUCUUAUAGCUGUUUUUACAGAAUGCUCGACUCUUUUAUAAUUUAUUUGUUAUUGAACAUUGUCAACGUGGUAAUAUUGAUGAGGCCUAUAAUAUGUACAAGGAGAUGGUGCAUUAUGGUUUUGCUUGUCAUAUGUUCACUGUGCUUGCUCUCAUUAAAACUCUAGAAAGGGAAAAUAUGGUCAAUGAGCUGCUUUGGGUAAUACAAAACGUAUUGAGGAGCUGUAAUCUCGAUGAUUCUGAGAUAGUUAAAUUCCUUAAUGAAUUUAACCCCAAGAAACCUGGCAGUGAAGCUCUUUUCGAUGUGCUAGCUGAAAAUGCCAAGGAUGGCCUGUUUCUUAAGUGUUCAUAUGCUCCACCAAGUGCCUAAUAUCUUUGGUUUUGCUUGUUGAACUCUAUUACCUGGUAAUAACCUUGAUCUGAGUCUUUGAGCUUGCAUCUAACAUGAUUUGGCUUGGGGACUUGCAAUAUGGAAAGUUCUUGACUAGGUUUACCAUUUCCUUAUCUAGCAGAUUUGGCUUGUAGAAUUAUAUUUAUUUCUUGUCAUUGUGUAGUUUGCUUCUAAAUUUACUUAAUAUUAUUGAUUUGGCUUGGAGACUUAUAUCUAUUUCUGGUCUUUGUGUAGUUUGUUUCUACAUUGACUAUUGAUUCUAUUUCAUUCAAAUGUCAUUUUGAUGAACCAAAUGUAAACUUUAGAAUUUACUUUAUAAUUUUAGAACUUUAGAAUUUUGAUGGCGCAUUGCAUCUUAUCUUCAAUCAGUUUCCCUUGCAACCAGGGGCGGACCUACAUAGAGGCAUACUAUGGCCUUGGCCACAAUGGAAUUUUGAUUUUUAAUAUAUUUUUAUUAACUAUUAUGGUAUAUUUACAUAUUAAUGUAAAUUUACUUACUAUUCACUUACUAUUACAACAUCUAAGCCAAUCUCCAUUUCCAUUGUGGUAUAUGGUCCACUGAAUACUAAUAUUAUAUGAUGAUAGUAAAUCAUGACAGUUUUUAUUAUCUGAACUGAAUUCAUAUCUUAGAUUACAAGCACAAUCAUUUGACAUAAACGAAAAUAAAUAAUCUUAGCUCAUUUGCACCAACAAAAGCACUUACCAACCUAUAAUAAUCUCUCCAACAUGGUGUUUUCCAAACAAUGUGUUGGACUUCAGAUUAUUUUCACCUGACUCUGCUUCUAACACUAGUUGGAAGAGAAUCAUGUCAUAUAUUUGAUAUCUGUAUCAAUUUAUGAACCUUUAUUUGUUCGGAUAAAACUUGUACACUUGUUGAUGUGACCAAUAUCUUACAACCAUUGUGAUCAUCACCAAAGGGGAUACCAAUCUCACCAAACUCAAGUCUACCAUGAACAUCAUGUAGUACAACUAGAACUGUUUGCAACUCUUUCAUCUUAGCACACAAAAGUGCAGCUCUUUCUGCAGUUGAUAUCCUUUUGUUAUUACCAAAUUUCCACCAAGUUGAUUUAACUACACCACCUUUAUCAUCAAAAUUCAGACCUAUUGCAUCACCAAUUUGUGUCUGAAGAUUAUUAAUGUCCGGCUUCUUUGUCACAGUUGUCGUGACAAUCUUUUGGAACAAUUGAUCUCUCUCAGCUAUUCUUAUAGCUGUGUUUGCAAAAUGUUGGACUCUUUUAUCCGGCCCACAUAACCCAAUUAUAUUUUCUCCUUGGUUUCUCACUCUUAGUGCAUCCAUAAUCUGCUGCUUAACCGUAUCAUCGACGUUGGGAAUAUAUGUGGCCCUCGAAUUACUCCAAUUAGCUGCUCCCACGGAUCCCUCCGAACGAAGUCCUGGCCGCCGAAGUUUACGUUCCAUGCUUUGCCCUGAAAUAGAAAAUUUACAUGAACCAAACAUAUCUACAAAGUUACAAAACCUCCCUUAAAAUAUUUACAUCCCAAACAUAUAUAGUGCAAAAGCCUAUACAGCUGCAUAAUUAUAUAUCUGGUCAAAAAUCAAAAUAGCUUUAUUUUUAUUUUUUUUGUUUACAAUGUUGCCAAUAAGGAUCGAACCUAGAAACUCAUGCAUAUUACUCAAAUCCCUCGACCCUCACCACCAGAUCAAACCUAGUAGCUUAAAAUAGCCUUAUUUGUGUGAAGGGAGUAGGUAGAGUAAUUAAACAUCGACUUAUUAACAGAAGCAAUUAAAGCAACCAAAUUGACCUUGGUUCAAACUAUAAUUCAUCAAGAAGGAAAUUAAUGUAAAAGUAUAGAAAUCUUAAUUACCACAACGCAAGGUGUAUGAUGACUGUGCAGUCUGUCUAAUUAACAGAUUAUAGGUGCUGAGUAAGACCAAUGCUUCAUUUCACCAAAACUUCAACUUACACACAUAUAUAUAUAUAUAAAUAAGUAUGUGGGGUGGGGGGCAAUGGAAAUUAACAGUUCAUUGUUCCGGUUGCCAUUGUUGACGAGAUUAGAUUAGAUUAAAUAUACAAAUUAAUUAAUAGGACAAAAUUAGGUACACUAUUAUAGGUCUAGAUGUUGUUGGUAAUAUUAUUUUACACCAAAAAAUUAUUAAAGCAGUCUAAACAUAUUAAGAGAAAAAGUUUGAUGCAACAUAUUAAUAAUUUAUGUUAAUUUCUGCAACCACUCAACGUAAAAACAAAGUACCGGUCACAAAAUACACACAAAAACAAAGUAAAUUACCAGCAUCUAACUGUGGAAUCAUCAUAAUCUUGUAUUCAAAAGUCUGCAUUUUUCUUUUAAAAAUUAAGAUGGCACUCUUCAAAUAAAUAUGCCUCAAAUAAAGUUAAAAAUAAGAUAAAAACGCUAAAUGUCAUAUUUGAGUCGCCCAUUUUUUAAUUAAUGAGAAUCAAAGUUAAAAUUUGAGUCGGCCAUUUUUUAUUUUUUAUUUUAAUAAUAGAAUUAAUGAGGAUCAAAUUUAAAAUUUUAUGUAUAUUAUCAAAAUCUCUCAUCACUGGACUAAACUUAGUGAUUUAUUUGAGCUGUAUAUUUUAUUUACAGUUUUAUUUCUUAAAGAAAUAAUUAGUUAAAUUAAUUCUAAUGUCAUAUUUGAAUUGUGCAAUUUUGUACAGUUCAAAUUUUAUAUUUUUUAAUAAGUAUCUACCAUAUUUAUGUCACAUGAUCAUCCUCGAAUUUUCUUUAUUCUUAACAUUUUCUCUUUUCUCACUAUUUCUUAACUAUUUCUCUAUUGUCACAUAAUCAACAACCAUUGCUGCAUCCACAUUAUAUACUAGUAUCAAAUUAUUAAUGGAAGUCAAAUUAAUUAAGUUUAUAUGACGUCAAAUUGAAGACACUUGGCAAUUGGUGACCCAUAAUAUUGCAUCUAAUUUUUUUACUAUUAUAUUUAACUUUUGAUUUUACUGGUCUUUAUUUAGAAUAUAUAUUUAACAAAAUUGAAUAUCAGUUGUCUAAGAAUAUUGCAUCCAGUUUGAAUAAGUUUACAAAUUCAUUGCUAAUGUUAGGAAUUACUUUUUUUUACAAAAAGAAGGUUGAAUGUAGAGUUGUCAAAAAUGGACCGGGUUGAUGGGCUGGUCAUUAGCCCACAUGGGCCAGGCCUAACACUAAAAAGUUAAAUUAGCUGAAAGAAAAAAGGAAAUGAACUUUCUGCCUUAACACUAAAAAGCUUAUAGUUAAUAUGAUGAAAGUAAUAUCAUGACAGUUAUUAUUAUCUGAACUGGUUCCAUAUCUUUGAUUAUUGAUUACACACAAACAUUUGACAUGAAAAAACUAAGUCUUAGUUCAUCUAUACCUACUACAAAGCGUGAUUGGAAUUCAAAUUAUGUGCAUGAUUGGAAUUCAAAUUUUCAUCAUCUUUGCUUCAAACACUCUAGUUGGAAGAGAAUUGUGUCAUAUCUCUGAUAAUUGUAUCAAUUUAUGAACCUUCAUUUCUUCAGCUAGAUCCUUGAGACUUGUGGAUGUCAGCAAUAUCUUGCAACCUUUAUGAUCUUCGCCAAAAGGAAUACCAAUCUCACCUAAAUCAAUUCUACCAUGAACAUCAUAUAGUAACUAGGACUGUCUGCAGCUCUUUCAUCUUAGCAAACAAAACAAGUGCUUUUUCUGCAGUUGUCGUUCCUUUGUUAUUACCAAAACACAUGCAAAAAGUCGAUUCAGCUAGAAAUUAACAGGAAAAAAUUAGGUACACUAUUAAUCUAUUAUAAGUACUAUUUGGUAAUACGAAAAAAUUAUUAAAGUAAUCUAAACUACUUUCUCCCAACCCCUAAAUUCCGCCACUUUAUCCAAGAAGUCAAGGACGGAACUUCUUCAAGACGGUAAUAUUUGCUUCAUGCAUACUUUCUAUUAGAAAUAGCUGUCAAUUUGAACGGAGAAUUUUUCUAUGUAGGCCGGAUGGGAUGGGCAAAAACUGCAACUCUAGGGGUGACAAAGUAGGCGAUCUGUCCUGUUUAAGUCCAUCCUUUCUAAAGUUCAUUCGAACUCAAAAGUUAAGGACAUCAUUUAUUAACGAGUUGGUGGGUUGACAAGCCGGCCCCCAAAGUCCAAACAACUUGUUUUUUCGACUAUAUAAUUUAUUAUCGUUUAUAUUUUUUUAUGAUAAAUUCAAAUCACGUAGUAAAUAAAACUAAUUAAUAAUUCAUAGAAUUGAACUAAAUUGAUAAUUGUAAACUAUUUCAAAUUAAUUCACUCCCUAAUAUAUGACAUUUAUGAUAAAACGAAAAUGUAGCGGUCGAAAUUGGGUGCAAAUUAAAUUGUUACGAUUUUCUUUUCGGUUUUGUGCAAAUUAAACAUUGAUGAGUAUUAUGAAUAUUAUACGAUGAUAGUAAUAUCAUGACAAUUUAUAUUAUCUGAAGAAAAAAAAUUUAAGGCAAAUUUUAUUAACAAUAAACAGGUUUCUGCAUAAACAGAAACCGAUAAGAGAGCUACAAAAACAAAGGUACCGUAUAUAAGCGGAACACCAACAAAAAUAUUAAAACAUAUACACCACCUAAUAGAGAUCCGUUUUUAAUUAAUCUCAUCAUUAUGGCACUCCUCAGCUUCCAGACCACCGAGAAGACACCAACCCGACCCAUUAUUAGUUUGACAAAAAAAAAAAAUCUAAGUUGAUACCAACAAAACACUUGCCAACCUAUGAUAAUCUCUCCAACCAGGGGUUUUCCAAACGAUAUGUUGAACUUGAGAUUUUCUUUACCUCUGCUUCAAACACAUUAGUUGGAAAAGAAUCACAUCAUGUUUAUGAUAUCUCAAUCAAUUUAUGAACUUUCAUUUGUUCAGAUAAAACCUCUACACUUGUUGAUGUCAGCAAUAUCUUGCAACCAUUAUGAUCGUCGCCAAAGGGGAUACCAAUCUCACCUAAAUCAAGUUUACCAUGAACAUCAUACAGUACAACUAGGACUGUCUGCAGCUCUUUCAUCUUAGCACACAAAAGAGUAGCUCUUUCUGCAGUUGUUAUCCUUUUUUUAUUACCAAAUUUCCACCGAGUUGAUUUAGCUACAUCAGUUUUAUCAUCAAAAUGGAGACCUAUUACAUCACCAAUUUGUGUUUGAAUCUUGGUAAUGUCAGGCCUGUUUGUCACUGUUGCUGUGACAAUCUUUAGAAACAAUUCAUCUCUCUCGGCUCUUCUUAUAGUUGUUUUUGCAGAAUGUUGGACUCUUUUAUCUGGUCCACAUAAUCCAAUUAUAUUUUUUCCUUGGUCACUUAGUGCAUCCAUAAUCUGUUGCUUAACCGUAUCAUCGGGAAUAUAGUUGUCCACCCACAUAGCCAAACGUGAAGGCAGAUCUUCAAAUAUAAUCCGGUGCUCCUUCUUCAAAUCCGCAUCAGUCAAAAAAGCAGGAGGCAGGGAACGUGAAAUUCCUUCUUCAUCUGUAAUCUGUGGCUUAACCGUAUCAUCUGGAUGCUCCUUCUUCAAAACCGCAUCCAUAGGAGGCAAGGAACGUGGAAUUCCUUCUUCAUCCAUCAGUCAAACACCAAUUACCAACUAUAAUUGCUGGUGUGGCUAAACUUUUUAGGCUUUACCGAAAAAAUUCAUCGUUAUCUUAAUAACUCAGUUAAACAACGAACAACAUAUAAAAUUAUUAUUAAUACAACAUGUGUAUCUAGAAAAAGAAUAUCAACAAUUCAGAAAAUUUCAAUUAAAAAAAAAUUAACAAACUAACAUAUUAUAUCUAGAAAAGCACAAAAUUUCUAUUCGAAAAAAAGAAACGAUUAUAAAUUAUUGAAUAUAUGUGAAAUCAUACAUAUUACUAUUGUUUGAUACAUCUCAAGAUUCUACUUGGAUCAAAAUAUAUAAACCCAAAAUUUUACUAGCUUAUAGUUUAUUUUGAUAAACUAAUUCAAUUAGCUUAUAACUUAUUAAUUUUUAUUUCAAGUUUACUCAUAUCUUCUUACUUGAAAAUAUUAAACCUAUUGUUUUAUGUCAUUAAAUAUUUAUAUGCCACAAUCGUUAAUUUUACUCAAUAUUACGAAUUCAAGUAUUUUUGACAAACAAAGCUAAAGNNNNNNNNNNNNNNNNNNNNNNNNNNNNNNNACCGUCAUUAAUAAUUAACUCUAAACUAAUAUUUACAUAAUAUUUGUACGAAUAUGUGUAAAGAAUAAUUUAAAAUUAAUUAUAAAAUUAUUAUUAUUAUUUUUAAAAAAUAUUUGGGCUAGGCUGGUGUGACUAUAGCCACACCAAGCCUCACACAGGUCCGCCCAUGCCAACUAACCUAAUAAAUUACCAGUAUUUCAAAAUAAAACAAAACCCUAAUCACCUUAUAAAUAGAGCAACCACAAAUUAAAAACAAAACAAAAAAAUCACAAGAAAAACUAUAUUUUUCACUCACUCUCUCUAGCUCAACAAAUUCUACUUGUUGUUGUUGUUGUUGUUGUGUUAUACUUUGAUUUGGAAUGAAUAAAAUAUAACAAUGGAGCUUGUUAUUUAUAGGAGAUCACGAGUCUUUGCUAUUGGCCUAUUGCUGUGCGUUUACUUUCAAGUUGCCAUUAUUGACUAGACUUAGAAUAAAUAUAGAAAUUAGGGUCAUGUUAACAUUUUCUUAGAAAUUAAGGUAGACAGGUGUUAUUUGGUACUCCCUCCAUUUAUUUUUAAUUGUCCAUUGAUGUUGGAUUUAGUGUUUUUAUUUAACUGUUCAUUUGAUAUUUUAAGAGCACGAUUUGUCAAUUAUACUCUUUGUAAAUUACUCUUAUUUUUUUAAUAAAAUUAAUUAAUUAUAUUUAGAAAACUAAAGUUUUUUUUAAUUUUUUUGGUACAUAACAUAUUAAUUUUAUUUUUUUUACAUAAUAUAUUAAAUUUAUUGAAAAGAGAAAGUGUGUGCAAAAAAAUAAGAAUUUAAUGGUGGAUUAAAAUUAUGAUAUAAUAGUAUAAGAUAAGGUGCAAAAAAUACAAUUUUUUAAUUUUGUGUUAUUAUUCUAAGUGGAUACCUAUAAAAAAGGUGAAGGAGUAAUAUUUGUGUCAGUCUGAAUCUUUGUAAUGUCGUUUUUUGGUCACAGUUGCUGUGACAGUCUUAUGGAACAAUUGAUCUCUCAGCUAUUCUUAUAGCUUUGUUUAUACAGAAUGACCGACUCUUUUAUCUGGCCCGCAUAAUCCAAUUAUUCUUUCUCCUUGGUCACUAGCUCUUGGUUCACUUCCUUAACCUUAUCAUUCAAGUUUGCAAUGUACAUGUCCCAAAAACUAGCCUUUGUAUACUGGAUCGAAUUCUCAAUCGACAUAAUAUGGCACAAGAAGUUACAGACUUACAGCACAGUUCUUUUCACUUUACUCUAUGCUACUAUAUACUCACUUUAGAGGUGUCCAACCCGCUUUUUCGCCCCACUAUAUGCGAGGGACCUAUCCCUAGCCUAUAAUGAGAGUUGCAACACCACAACACAAUUAUGUUUUUGAAAGUUCAAAUUUCAUGCUUCCACCUGAAAUAGAAAAUUGACAAGAGUCAAAUGUCAAGCUACAAAGUCUAAAAUCUAAAACAUGAUGGAAGUUGUUUAAAAGACAUGAGAUAACAUCAUAUGAAAAUAGCCAAUCAGACUACUAAAUUUUAAAACUUGUAUUUUUCUACAGAAAAAUUAAACAAAACGAGUAUGUUUGAAUUGCUGAUAUUGGAAGGAAUGGAGUGAAAGGGAAUGAAAUAGGAUAGUUAAUUUUUGGCAAAAUUACAUUACAGGUCCUUUAUCUUAUUUUUUUGUAACACUUUGGUCCUUAUCUUUUUUUUGUAACACUUUAGUCCCUGAUCUUUUAUUUGUAACACUUUAGUCCUUUAUUUUUUUUUUAUUUGUAACACUUUAGUCCCUUUUUUUGUAACAGUUUGGUCCUUUAUCUUUUUUUAAUUGUAACACUUUGGUCCUUUAUUUUUUAUAAAUAAAUAAGAUAAGGACCAAAGUGUUACAAAAAAAAAGAUAAAGGAUCAAAUUGUUACAAAAAAAAGAUAAAGGACCAAAUUGUUACAAAAAAAUAAGAUAAAGGACCUAUAGUAUAAUUUUGCCUUAAUUUUUUAAAAUUGAUCUUAUAUCACUCCACUCAAUUUUAUCCUAUACCAUUCCAAUUCAAGCAUAAUUCAUAAACAUGAUAUGAAAUUUUUUUUUCCACCCCAACAUUUAACUCUUUACCCCUACAAAAACCUAAUAUUCCUAUUUUACCCUUUUAUUAUUUCAUUUCACCCUUACAUUUAAUCAAAGUUAUACAUGAAAAAACUAAAAAAAAUUCUGAACAAACAUAACAUAUUCCGGUAAAAAAUUUGCAAACCAGAAUAGUUAGAUAAAGUAUUCCGGUAACCAGUGAGACAUGUCUCAACCACACCCAAAAUCCAGUUUGCAAUUUAUUCAACAAUGAUCUUUGGCCAAUAUGCAAUUCUAAUUUCAAGCAGAAACCGUGAUUCGAUUUAAAGGGUGGUUGGUGAGAAAGAAGCGAUAAGGAAUAUUUUAUGUUGAGGUGUGCUGCAAUGUAAAAAUGAAGGGAGGAUCUGAUUGGUGAAAAUGAAUUGAAGGAGAUAAUUAAAAUAGAAGGUGUAAGAGAAGAACCGGAAGAUGCCAAAAAACACUAGACGAUAAAGCUUGAACUUUGGCCAUGGAGGAUUGUUCCGAAGAAGAAGCCACGAGACGAGGAACUUUUUGUUUUUGGAGAUGAUGAAGCCGAGAUCUCGUUACCGGAAUACUUUAUAAAACUAUUCCGGUUUGCAAUUUUUUUUACUGGAAUAUUUUAUUCAAGUGUUCUGAAAAAAAAAAUGAUGUGUUCCGGUUUGUAAUUUUUAUUAAAUGUAAAAGUGAAAUAAAAUAAUAAAAAGGGUAAAAUAGGAAUAUUAGGUUGUUUGUAGGGGUAAAAAGUUAAAUGUUGGGGUGAAAAAAAAAAUUCCACAUGAUAUAGUACAGAAGCCCAUUAAAUACCAAUUCAAACAUAAUUCAUAAUUCAUAAACAAAUGAACUUCAGUAAUUGAGCAAAAACAGACUAAAGACUGAGGAAAUAAAUUGACUAAAAGUUAAAUUAGCUGAAAGAAAAAAGGAAAUUAUAAUCUGAACUGGAUCCAUAUCUUUGAUUACAAACACAAACAUUUGACAGUAAAAAAAAAACUAAGUCUUAGUUCGUCUAUACCUACAAAGCACUUCUCAGCCUCUAAUCACUUAAACGUGGUGUUUUUCCAAAUGACGUGCAUGUUUGGACUUCAAAUUUUCAUCGUGCUUUGAACACUCUAUUAGGAAGAGAAUUGUGUCAUGUCUCUGAUAAUUGUAUCAAUUUAUGAACCUUCGUUUGUUCGGAAAGAACCUUGAGACUUUGGGAUGUCAACAAUAUCUUGCAACCAUAUUUAUGAUCUUCACCAAAGGGGAUACCAAUCUCACCUAAAUCAAGUCUACCAUGAAGAUCAUAUAGUACAACUAGAACUGUUUGCAGCUCCUUCAUCUUAGCAAACAGAAGACGAGCUCUUUCUGCAGUAGUUAUUCUUUUGUUAUUACCAAAACACAUGCAACAAUUUGAUUCAGCUAAAUCUCUCUUAUCGUCAAAAUUAAGACCUAUUGCAUCACCAAUUUCUGUUUGAAUCUUAGUAAUGUCUGGCUUCUCUGUCACAGUUGUUGUGACAAUAUUUUGGAACAAUCUAUCUCUCUCGGCUCUUCUUAUAGUUGUUUCUACAAAAUAAUCGACUCUUUUAUUUGGCCCACAUAAUCCGAAUAUAUUCUCUCCUUGGUCUCUCACUCUUAGUGCAUCCAUAAUCUGUUCUUUAACCUUAUCCAUGUUGGGAAUAUACAUGUUCCCCAAAUCAGCCGCGGCAAAACAUGUUGGGAAGUUUAAAUUUCAUGUCUCUACCUGAAAAUGAGCCAAACAUCAAGCUAUAAAGUGUAUUAUUAUCUAAAACAUGAUGAUAGAUGUUUAAAAGAUAUAGGAUAGGAUCAAAUGACACUCUCCAUUAAAGUAUCGACAUCUCAGACAUAGUGCAAAAGCCUCUCAGAAAAGGUAUGGGAGAAAUAAGGUAUGGGAGAAAAAUAUAAAGGCCUCUCAGAAAAGAACUAAUAAAACUGAGACAACAACCUUAGCAAAAAGGCCUAUUUUAGUAUUUGUUUUAAUUCUCAUUUAGGGAGAGUUUGCAUUUGACUUAUUUUUGAGCUUAUCAAAAUAAGCUAAGUAUAUAAUUAAACUUUUAUGUUAAUUCAUAAGUUUUUAGUAACAAAAAUUGUAUCUUUAUAAGAUGUUUUUUCAUAAACUACCUUAAAAAACUUAUAAUUAUACAUAAAACUUAUUUAUUUGCAUGAGUUGUUUCACAUAAGCUCAAAAAUAAGUAAAUCUAAACCGCCUCGUGUUAUACCGAUCAGCCAAACUAGAUCAUAUAAAUGGAGAUAAACAGCCUCAUACUAAAGAUUGUGUAAAAAAUAAAACAGACUAGUGGAUUCAAAUUGGCUUAUUUUUGUGAAGUACUCCCUCCGUCCCAAAUUAUAAGGGAAAAAAGCUCAUUUUUUUUGUCCCAAAUUAUAAGAGAAAAAAUCAUUUUCAAGAAUGUUUUUUCCUUAUUUUCAUAAAAUUAAAUGUAAAUUGCAUUUAAUUUCUUCUCUAUCUCAUAUUCUCAAUAAACAACAACCAAUAAAAAUUGUUUUUACAUCUUCCUAUGCAACUUAUUUCAAGGAAAACCCACAAAAAGAUACUUCAAAUUCUCAUGUUUUACUUUUUCUUAAUAAGUGUGAUUUUUUUAUUUUCCCUUAUAAUUUGGGACGGAGGGAGUACUGUAGUUAAACAGUGACUUGUUAACAGAAGCAACUAUGCCAAACCAUAGUUAAAACUAGUUUAUCUAAUUUAUUUAUGCAAAGAAGAAAUAAGCGAGAUCUUACCAAAACAAAAGGUGUGUGCAAUCUAAUUAACCAAGUAACAGCUAUCUUAGAUCUCAGAGAUACAUUUCACCAAAUUUCAUUUCACAUUAAUAAAUAAAUGGAGACUGAGGAAAAAAGAAAGCAGUUCACUGUUCCUGACAAGACUUAUACUAGAAGGAAAAGUAGAUUUCCUUACAAAUGUAUUGUUUCUAGAAAAUAUUUUUGAAAUAAAAUAAAGAAAAAAGUAUUGAUAAUAGAUCAAAUUUUAGAUUUUUUUUUUUACUCAAUAUUUAGAUUUAAAUGCAACUUUGAUCUGCUAUUUAUAAUUUGAACUCUGCCCUUUUUAUAAAAUCAGUUUUUUUAACCAAGACAUGGAGCUCAAGUGAUUAAUGAGUUUCACCAAAAAGGACGGAUUUCGGAAGAAUCCGGAUUCGAUUCUUGGGUGGAACAAUUUCUUGGCCAGACUUUACUUACCUCGCGGCCGAACUCUGAACUACUAGGACUCAUUUCCCCUAGGAACCAAAGGGUUAAAAACAAAAAAAAAAUCAGUAUUUUUGUUCCCAUAUUAAAUUUUGUUUACUAAUUUCAGAUUUUAAGUUUAUUGCUUAUAGUUAUAAAUUCAUACGAUUAAAAAACACCUAUUUAGUAACAUUUUCUUUUUUUACGAGAUUAUAACCUAUUUUUACUAACUUAUAGCUUAAUAUUUAUAACUUAUUAUUUUUUCUCUCAAUUUUACACAUGUUAGCUUAUUUGAAAUAAAAAGAGAACAAGAAUAUAUUUGUUUUUUGUUGGGCUUGAAAAAGAUCAAUAAUGGAAUCGAGAUAAUUUCUUUCCAUUUUUCAUGUUUUAUGCGCAUCUUGCUCGUUUUUAUUUGUACUUUUCUAAUAUUAAGUAGUAAACGUUAUAACUUAUAAAAAUAAAUUUUAAAAAAAUAAAAUAAAAAUUGUCUGCUCCAAGUAACGAACUAAGUUUGCUAUUUAACUAGCUGACACCUCUUAUAUAGGGGUGAUCAUAUCUGAACCAAUCCAAAAACAAAACCGUAAACCGAAUCAAUCCUUUUUGGAACUUCAAGUUGUUCUUUUUUUGUUUCUACUAUACUGUUAUUUUUAUGUUGUAAUGUUAUUUUAGAUAAACAAUUUUUAUCAGUAUUGUGAUAUUCUUUUGGAACUUCAAAUUUUUUUUUUUGGAUAUUUAAAAUUGUAAGGUACUAUAAUGUUAUUUUGAAACUUCAAUUUUUUUUUUUAUGUUUAAAAUUAUUUGGUAUACUUUGUCAAUAAAAAUUAUUCGGUACCAAAAUAUUAUACUAUAAAUCGCACCAACCGAACCAAUCCAAGCCGAUUGGUUUGGUUUGGUUUGGAAGACUUUUUAAAAAUCAACCGAACCGCGUGCAUUUUUUUCUCGCGACUAGGAUGAUUUUUAUGCUCAAAACCGAAUCAAACCGCACCACGAUCAACCUACUCUUAUACACGAAAUUUUUAAAAUUUUACACGUCCACCACUUAAGUUAAAAAUUGAAUUUACUACUUAACUAACCCACUUCAGGAUUUUACACUAUUCUCUAGUUACAUAGAAAAGUUAGUUUAGUAGCUAACACCCCAUAAGUUUUCUAUUCCAUAACAUACAUGAAUAUAUUAGAUUUUUUUUUUUUUUGCAUUGGAAUUUUUUAGAUUUUACAAGUACGAAGUUUACGUAAAAUUAUUUAUUUAAGUUUUAUAAAAAAGUAAUAUUCUUGUAAAAAGAAAAAGUAAUAUUUUUAAGUUUUAUAAAAAAAAAAAGUAACAUUAUUUAUUUAUGUUUGUGAAAAAACAAAACGUGUAAUAUUAAUUAAUUAAUAUUUAAACCGAAAAAUAUAUCCCAACCAAUUUCUGUUCCAGCGCCUAAACUCAGAAGAAUCAUCAAACAAAGACACUGUCGUUUCCAACAUACUCUUCUUCUUGUUGCAUCCGAAAAAGUCCACAUUUCAAUAAUGUCUCAAAAAUAAAGUAAAAUAAAAAGAACAACAAAAAAAAAAAACAUAAUAAUAAAAAAAAGUACUUGACCCAAANNNNNNNNNNNNNNNNNNNNNNNNNNNNNNNNNNNNNNNNNNNNNNNNNNNNNNNNNNNNNNNNNNNNNNNNNNNNNNNNNNNNNNNNNNNNGAAUUCCAAGUGUACCUGGUGUACCAGCCAAGAUCUUGAUGAUACUUGUUUCUCUAAAUCUGAAGCUUUGAGGUUACCUCAUCAGGUUUUCUCUUGUGGGCCUACUAGUUCAUGAGAUCUAUGUUUUUUUUCUUUUGGAUCUGUAUCGUUACUUUCAUUAACCAAUUUAUGAUGCCCCUUUUGUUUUUCUUGGUUGGAAUUAAUAGUUGAUUAGUUAUCUUGAUUUGUUUGAUUUAAUUUUGUAGAGGGUGGUGAAUGGUGAUGUUGUAUAUUUGAAUUUUGUUAUUGUUGUUGUGUAUUGAUGAUAUUCAGGCUAUGUUUAGAGUUGAGACGUGAUUUGGUUAAUUAUAGAGUGUAAGAAUCACAGACACUUCUUGAAUUAAGCGUGUCCCAGUGUCCGACCCGCAUCGGUGUCCGACACAAUACCGACACUUAUAAUUAAAUUGAAUUAUGUCAUUUGCUCAGUUUAUUAUUGAUGUCAGUGUCCAUAUCGUAUCCGGAGUCCAUGUCUGUGCUUCGUAGUUACUAAUUACCAUAUUUGACCUUUUUGCUUUUAUGGAUUAUUACUCAAUGGUGGCAACUUAGAUAAGAUUAACAUAAACAUGCAUCAUUUUGAAGGCUAAUAAUGCUGAAAAUUCUUAAAAAUGAGCUUAAAUAGUUCACUAUUUGUUCAUCUCAGUCCAUUUUUUGGGCCUUUUUCCUUUUUGUUUAGAAAAUUGGCAAAUGUAAAAACUUUGUUUUGCUUCAAUCAGCUNNNNNNNNNNNNNNNNNNNNNNNNNNNNNNNNNNNNNNNNNNNNNNNNNNNNNNNNNNNNNNNNNNNNNNNNNNNNNNNNNNNNNNNNNNNNNNNNNNNNNNNNNNNNNNNNNNNNNNNNNNNNNNNNNNNNNNNNNNNNNNNNNNNNNNNNNNNNNNNNNNNNNNNNNNNNNNNNNNNNNNNNNNNNNNNNNNNNNNNNNNNNNNNNNNNNNNNNNNNNNNNNNNNNNNNNNNNNNNNNNNNNNNNNNNNNNNNNNNNNNNNNNNNNNNNNNNNNNNNNNNNNNNNNNNNNNNNNNNNNACAUAGCUCACAGUUUCUCACUUUCUUGUUAUUUGUUCCUGAACUUCAGCUAACAAACUGCUGAAAAGAUUGUGCUUUGAACUUUGAAGAUGCCUUAUACUUACGGUUACAGUACACUCUUACAAUGACACUUUUGCUAAUAUAAUGUCAGCCACUUUGUAUGAAUAAGUUUAUGAGGAUGUGUAGCAGCCAAUCAUAAGAAGAAACACAAUGGAAGAUGACAAAAUCGUUGUGCUAAAAGAGUGGUUGUUUGGGACAUAAUCAAUUAAUCACAUACUACUAGUAAUUACUGAAAUUAAGUCUUUCAAGGCAUGAAUAAAUAUUUUGGAGAAAAUGAAUGUAAUACAGAUGCUAUUGUUUUUUUUAUUUUGAUAGAGUGUACAAGUUUAAUACUCCUUGUCACAUAAAUUUGGCUAGACUUUACUUAUCUCGCAGCUGAACUUUUUAUUAUCGGGUCCCUUUUCCUGAGAACCAGAAGGUUAAUAUAAAAAAAAGAAAUAUGGGUAUUAUUUAUUCCAAGAUUUAUUAUUUUUAUUUCUUCCUACCUCUUAGUCUCUAUUCUCUUCGUCCUCAACUUUUAGUCUUUCUAGAAUUUUGCACAUAACGAUAAAAAUUCAUAAUUUUGAAUUUUCUAAAAAAUGAAAUGUUCUGAAUACAAUUUAUGUUCUGCAUUCUGCAUUUUUUAAAAAGUGAAAAAUUUAAAUAAAAUUGUGUUUUUAUCUCAUUUAUUUGUAUUCCAAUUUUUUUUAAUAAAAAAUAGUAGUAGAAUGGUUUCUCAUCAUUUCAGUGAGUUUGGGUCCUGGUAUAUUUUCGGACUUGUAUUCCAGAAUUUUUUUUUUGGACUUGUGGGAUCUUUCUAUUUUAGUUGGGCCGUUAACUUCAUAGAUGGGCCUGAACAAAUAUAGUAUGGGGAUUAUCCAUAUUGGUCCAAAAGNNNNNNNNNNNNNNNNNNNNNNNNNNNNNNNNNNNNNNNNNNNNNAAAAAAAAAAAAAAAAAAACCUUCACUCUUGUAUUUUCAUCAAACUAACCAUUUUACCCUCAUAUAUAAACUAAAAAUAUUCAUUUUUUCACCAUUUUUUACACAAAAUCACUCAGAGAGUUCGAGAUUACUAGAGACAAAAGGAGUGAAAGAAUGUUUUCGCGAAUUCAAAACGGAACACAUUCUAUAAGUGUCAGGACCUUCCGUGAGAUUUUUGGUGCCCUGUGCAAGUUAUAAUUUUUUUUGAAAUUUUUUGAUAACUUUUAAAUUUUCAUAAGAGUCUAAGUCUAUUUUAAUAUUUAGUUAUAAUAUUUAUUUUAACACACGAACGCACGCAUGCACGCACACGCGAGGGCAUGCAUGCAUAUACACACACUAAGUAUAUAUAAAAAAAAAACAGAUACCCCUAAAAUUUUAGUGCCUUGUUCGAUCGCUCUUCUCGAACAUCCUCCGAAACCCACCUAUUCCAAUCCAAGCUACAAAUAGCAGUGAUCUUUUGUUCUCAUAACAGAACCCCAAAAGUGAAACAAUGUUCAUAUGUGACGUCCUACUAAUACUAGCUACUUCAUUUAUGAAUUCUUCUCCAUUUUCCUUUGACUCGUUUAUCACUUUCACUGCAACUUGACGGUCAUUAAGUAAACUUGCUUAGUAAACAAUACCGUAUCCUGCGUUGACCUAAUUUGUCUCAAAAUGAGUUAUGAGCAUGCAUGCACAUACACACACUAAAUAUAUUAAAAAAAAUUGAUACCCCUAAAAUUUUAGUGUCAUGUGCGAUCGCUUUUGUCGAACAUCCUCUCGAAUCCUCUACAUAAGGUGGUUGUGUUUAGCUAGUGGAAGAGUCUAGUCUUCCACAAUAUAUAUAUACACUCCUUCCGUCCCAAAAUAUAAGCAAAAAUGAGUUAAAAAAACUUGAUGUAUUUGGUUAAGGAUUUGGACCAAAUACAUUUAUUUUUAUUGACCAAUUUUUGCUUAUAUUUUGGGACGGAGGGAGUAUGUAUAUAUGACAAAUUAAAGUUUAAUUUCUGGUUUAAAAAAUGUUUGUAUUUAGUGAUCAUUGUGAUCAAACGAUGUCUUAAAUUGGAUUACGUCAUCUAGAGAUAACUUACAAGAAACAAAAUAAAUUUAAGUAAGACAGUGUAAAAAACUAUACUUUUCCAAAAAUUGAUAUAUUUUCAUUCCACUAAAAAGGUGGAGCUAAAGAGAAUAAAAACCUAACGUGUUUUCCUCACUUUUUAUUUUUUAUUUUUUGUAUGUUUUCAUUUGGCAAUAGAGGCAUUUUGUUUGAUUAAAUUCGUCAAUAAAAUUCUAAUACUUUUUUUUUACCCUUCGAUUUCUUUUAUUUAUAUUAUCAAUAAAAAAAACAAUUUUCCUCUAUUGUUGGUGGAGUUGUCACUUAUCCAUACUAGAUUCCACUUGAUGUUUUCAUUAUGUUUAUGUGUUACUCAAGAAACUUAAAUAGUUUUUGUCAAAAAAAAUAAAUUAAAUAGUUGUAUUUUUUUUUCCAAAUAGCAUAGUGACUAGAAAUUUCACACUUACGAUGGAUAAGUGGGGUGAUCGGAGUUCGAACGUCAGCCUCUCUGCAUAUAUAAUACAAUGUCCUAUAUAUCAACUGAGAUAAGUUCCCGCGACGUUGUAUUUAUUUUUAUUUUUUAAAAAACUAUAGGAUACAAAAUCAUAAAUUUAUAACAUCUUUUUUCUUUUUAGUCAAAAGUUUUUAUAUUUCAUAAUUGUUUUAUUAAGGUAAAAAAGUAUGGUCUUAAUAAUUCAAAAGUUGAAGAUAGAGGGGAUCAAAUUUGUUAUGCACUUUCCACCCAAUCUGUAAACACAACACAAUCUAAGUCCAAAAGUGUUGAAGCAAAGCAAAAUAGCUUAAUUCAACGCGCAUGCAUAAUUUUCCAACAUCCCACUACUUACCACAUGCAUAAUCAACAACAUGCUUAAUUUGACAAUCUCAACAUUCAUAUUAUGUUUUCACUAUUCCACAGUCAUUUUUUAUUAAUUGUUGAGAUUCUUACAAUGUUAUGUAAUUGUCUUAUACGUUGUCAUGACUAAAAUGUGAGAUCAGCUUAAAGAUAAUGAAUGAGUAAUGUGAACAUAAUUCAAUUCCUUUUUAGUGUAUGAAUGAAUGUGAAGUUGUGUGAAUUGAAUCUGUAUACAGUAGUAAACAAAAACAUAAGACUAAACUAAAAAGUACACACGACCUUGUGUUACAUGAAACGGGAGAUGCGUUAUCAUUAUUUUGUCUUUUGACUUAGUGUUGUGCUUGUUGCUUGAUUAGUGCUAAUCAUGAUUUUCUAACUAGAAGAUUAAUUAGUGGAUCGAGUGAAUUGGUUAAAGAUCACAAUUCACAACAUUGAUUUCUUUUGAGUUAUAUGUUCAUCGUGUGUUCUUUAACUACUCAAAGAGCAUUAAGUCUCACAAUUGAUGUAACUACCCUAACAAUUUUUAUUUUUUCUUCCUUUUUUUAUGUAUUAUUUUUCGUUGAGAGAAUUUUAUCACGUUUUUAUUUGUUCAUGUAUUCAAAAUUUUGUUUUCAAACAUUCUAUGGAAAUAUAUAUUUGGUUUCAAAUUAUUCCUGAAUUUUGCAACAACACAAAUACUACCAAUUAAGUCUUCAAAAUUCAUAUAUAAAUUAAAAAAAACUCAUUCUUCAACAUCAAAUUUUCUAAACAUCCUCUAAAUGUGCAAAACUUAAGUGGAGGAAGAACGAAUGGGUCAGACAUAAUAGCACCACCGUCAUGUAUAACUAGGGUUGGCUUGGUCGUGCAUGAUUUGGGGGUGUGCAGGAACCGAAAGAAACAAUGUGAGUGAGAACACAAUGAAGAAGGAACAUUCACGAAUAGAUCGGAAACCUAGCUCUUAAAUAAUUUAAGUUUUAAACUGUUUUUUUAAGUUGAGUAACCAUUUUAAUGAAAUGACUUUUAUAAAUUUUGUUAAUAUAUGUAGCAUUUUA
rnacentral:lncRNA from 1 species